AGAGAUGUGUGAUGACGCAUAUCAAUAAGCGGAGGAAAAGAAACUAACAAGGAUUCCCUUAGUAACGGCGAGUGAAGCGGGAAGAGCUCAAAUUUGAAAUCUUCAAGGUUCUACCUUGACGAAUUGUAGUUUAUAGAAGUGUUUUCUGUUAGUAGAGUGGCAAAAGUUCUUUGGAAUAGGACAUCAUAGAGGGUGAGAAUCCCGUAUUUGGUCAUUCUUUCUAGCUUUGUGAUACACUUUCAACGAGUCGGAUUGUUUGGGAAUGCAGUCCAAAAUGGGUGGUAAAUUUCAUCUAAAGCUAAAUAUUGGCGAGAGACCGAUAGCGAACAAGUACCGUGAGGGAAAGAUGAAAAGAACUUUGAAAAGAGAGUUAAACAGUACGUGAAAUUGUCAAAAGGGAAGCGUUCGACACCAGUGUUGUUUUUCCGAAAAUCAAUUACGAAUGUUUUGUUUUUAAGGAGUUAUGACUUCAUCGGCUUGCUUCUUUCUUUACGAAACUUUCUUAAUGCACUUUUCGGUUAACAAGUCAACAUCAAUUUCUUUUGUUGUAAAAGGGUAUGAGGAAGGUGGCUUUCUUUUCGGAGAAAGUGUUUAUAGCCUUGUGCUUCUGCAAUCGGAGAGAUUGAGGUCUGCAGCGUAGAUCCUUCGGGGUUAGAUACGUUUGUGCUAAGUUAUAGCCUUUCAUAGACAACUUGUUGACUAUGAUCAGUCAUGUAGCUUACUCGCUGAUGCUAUUUUACCUACGCUUAGGAUGUUGACGCAUGAGAUAUACGC
rnacentral:rRNA from 1 species